UGGAGUCUCUCUUGUGUCCACUCCCUUCUCGGGCAGUGGCUAUGGGGGUUGGAGGAGGAAGAUGAUUGUCGCGUUAUCUGCUAAAAUCAAAAUCGGUUUUGUUGAUGGCACCUGUCCCCGGCCAGUCACUAAUGUGAAUCAGCAAAGACUAUGGGACAGAUGCAAUAAUAUGGUGAUUUCCUGGUUGACUACCUCCCUCUCCCCUCAAAUUGCUGAAAGUGUGCAGUAUUAUGAUACUGCACAAAAAAAUUUAUGGUCCCAGCUUCAGGCCAGAUAUGGCACUGCCAACAGGACCAAAAUCUUUGAAUUAAAAAGAGAGCUUUCUCACACAUCUCAAGGGUCCCUAGAUGUAGCUUCAUAUUUCAAUAAACUUAAAGGUCUAUGGGAUGAAUUAGAAUCAAUGUGUACAAAUCAUGGGCAGAGAUGUGUAUGUGCUGCCAAAGAUGGUAUAAUACAUGGAUAUGAUGAAAAUAAGGGGUUUCAGUUUCUAAUGGGCCUUAAUGAAGCAUACAUGGGGGUAAGGAGUAACCUAUUGAUGAUGCAGUCACCUCCAACCCUUGACAGUGUCUAUAACAUACAUGGGGGUAAGGAGUAACCUAUUGAUGAUGCAGUCACCUCCAACCCUUGACAUGUCUAUUAUAUGGUCCUCAAUGAUGAGAAGCAGAGACAAGUCCAGUCCCCUUCUCAAUUUAAUCCAGACUCAAUGUCUCUCAAUGUCCACACAAAUAGACAUUCAGUUGGAUUCAAUAAGGCAACAGUGCCUAAUCCUUCUCCUGCUUUCAGACAGAGAGUCAAUUUUGACCAAGCUAGAGGGCCUUUAUUCUGUAGAUACUGCAAAAAAUCUGGGCACUUAAAUGAUAAGUGUUACAAGAUUCAUGGGUAUCCACAAAGUACAACAUUUAAUAAGGGGAGGAGACCUGCUGCUGCUCAUCUAACUGCUAGUGUGGAUUUCCCUUCUUCUGAAGGAAAUGUGUCUGUUCCCCAAGAAAAUCCUCGUGAAUGCCAUCACCCUGUUACAAACUUAGAUGGCCAGAGUUUAUGCUGCUGCUCAUCUAACUGCUGGUGUGGAUUCCCCUUCUUCUGAUGGACAUGUAUCUAUUCCCCUAGGGAAUCCUCCUGAAAGCCAUCAUUCUGUUACAAACAUAGAUGUCCAGAGUUCUGAGAUACCAGGGUUGAGCAGACAACAGUAUGACCAAUUGAUGAGCUUGUUACUACAUACCUAGUUAGGGGACUCCACUACUCAGACUCCUCCUCCCAUGUAUGCUGCCAAUUUUGCUGGUACUAUGCUAACUGAGAGCCCUGCUUCUGACUCCAAAUUUUGCAUGUUAACUCACAUUAGUUCUGCUACCUGGAUAAUUGACUUAGGAGUAUCUAACCAUAUUACUUUUAAUAAAUAUUUACUCUUUAAUCUCAUACCUUUAACUGUACCCUAUCUUGUUACUCUUCCCAAUGGAUAUAAAGUGAAAGUGACAUGUACAGGAUCUUUUGCAUUAAAUCCAUUCAUCACUCUUCAUAAUGUCCUACUUGUUCCUUCUUUCAAACAUAACUUGAUUUCUGUCCACAAGUUAGUGCACAUUAAAUCCAUUCAUCACUCUUCAUAAUGUCCUACUUGUUCCUUCUUUAAACAUAACUUGAUUUCUGUCCACAAGUUAGUACAACACUUGCGUUGUAUAGUACUGUUCACUGCAACUUCCUGUUUAAUUCACUUGUUACAGGCCCCUUCUCUGGGGAUGCCUCUGGAUCUUGGUAAAGAGGAGGCUGGUCUGUACAAGAUUGUUUGGGUGCCACCUUCAUCUUCUUCUAAUUGUGGUUCUUCUGUUUCUGUAUGCUCUUCUUCUUCUAACUCUCGUAAACAUGCCUAUUCUAGUAAUCAAGCUGUUGGUUUGCCUUUGAAUGUAAACAGUUCCAUAUGUAAUAAUACUGUUACCACAGACAUGAAUUACAUUUGGCAUUUAAGGUUGGGGCAUAUACACUUUGUGAACAUGAAACACAUUUCUGCUUCACCUUUUUCAUUUGCUUCUAAACAGCCUUUUCAAUGCUCUACCUGUCCUAUGGCCAGGCAAACUAGGCUUCCCUUUCCUGAAAGCACUACUAGUACAUCUAAACCUUUUCAGUUGAUUCAUGUUGAUACUUGGGGACCUUAUCAUACCCCCACCUCUUCUGGUUCUAGAUAUUUUCUCACAAUAGUUGAUGAUUUUUCUAGGGCAACCUGGACACAUUUGUUAGGGUCAAAAAGCAAUGCUUUCUUUUCUCACAAUAGUUGAUGACUUUUCUAGGGCAACCUGGACACAUUUGUUAGGGUCUAAAGGCAAUGCUUUCUGCAUGCUUCAAUCUUUUCUUUGUAUGGUCAAGACCCAAUUCAAUGCAACUGUACAAACUGUUAGGAGCGACAAUGCUUUAGAAUUGGGAUCUAGCAUUGUUGGUACAUCCUUUUUUAACCAACAUGGCAUCAUACACCAAACCACUUGUCCACAUACUCCCCAACAAAAUGGUGUUGUUGAGAGGAAACAUAGAACUCUUCUUGAAACCUGUAGAGCUUUACUUCCAGUCUGGUUUACCCAUUUCUUUCUGGGGUGAUUGUCUAUUAACUGCUACCUAUCUUAUUAACAGAGUACCCUCCAAGCUCCUUCAUGGUAAAUCCCCUUAUGAAAUCUUACAUAGUAAGGCACCCACUUACUCUCAUUUAAAGGCUUUUGGCUGCCUUGCCUAUGUUUCUGUCCCCAUUCCUCAAAGGGACAAGUUAAAGCCUAGGGCCAUUCUUGUGUUUUCCUAGGGUAUCCUUUUGCUAAAAAGGGCUAUAAACUAUAUGAUCUUAGUUUCAAAAAGUGUUUUGUGUCCAGGGAUGUUAUCUUUCAUGAAACUUCUUUUCCUUUCACAUCUGCCUCUUCUGUCACCUCUGUUCCUCCUGCUUUCCCUUCCUCUUUUCCUUCUAUUCCUCCUAUUGAUCAUUCCUCUUCUAACCAAGAAUUCUCUGUUCCAAUCUCUUCCUCUCCACCUCUAUCUCCUGUUCCAGAUUCUCGUUCUUCAAAUCCAAUUUCCAGUUCUCCUUUCAACCCUGACAUCUCCCCUCCUGAUUUACCUUCUUCCACAUCAACUGAUGUUCCCAGGAAAUCUGGCAGACAACACAAUCCUCCUUCUUAUCUUAAGGAUUAUGUUUGUAACCUUACUGCUUUCUCUGGGUCUUCUUCUUCUCCUCUGGAGACUGAACCCCUUUACUGCUCUCAAGCUGCAUCAGUUCUAGUAUGGCAGGAUGCCAUGAGAAAGGAGUUUGAUGCUAUGGAUGCUAACUGCACUUGGGACAUUGUUCCUCUUCCUUCUGGUAAGAAACACAUUGGCUGCAAAUGGGUUUAUAAGAUCAAGUAUAAGGCUGAUGGUAGUGUUGAAAGACACAAAGCCAGCCUUGUUAUUAGAGGGGAUACUCAAGUUGAAGGGGUGGAUUUUACUGACACUUUUUCUCCUAUGGUUAAAAUGUCCACUGUGAAGUGUCUUAUUGCAGUGGCUAUUAAGAAGCAUUGGAACUUUUUCAACUUGAUGUUAACAAUGCAUUCUUGCAUGGUGAUUUGGAUGAGGAGGUUUAUAUGAAGCUUCCCCCAGGUUUAUCUGUUUCUGUAUCUUCUUCUGACUCUGUUUCUUCUCCAUCUCCUCCUCUUGUAUGUAAAUUGAAAAAAUCCUUAUAUGGGUUGAGGCAGGCAUCCAGACAGUGGUAUGCCAAGUUGUCCUCUGCCCUUUAUUCCAGAGGCUAUAGUCAUUCCAUCCCUAUAUGGGUUGAGGCAGGCAUCCAGACAAUGGUAUGCCAAGUUGUCCUCUGGCCUUUACUCCAGAGGCUAUAGUCAUUCCAUGAAUGAUUAUUCUCUGUUUAUCAAGGCCAGCCUGGCUGUUUGGUUAUUGUAGCAGUCUAUGUGGAUGACAUUAUCAUCACUGGGGAUGACAAUGAUGAGCUAUCUACCCUGAAGCUGUUUUUGGAUGAUCAGUUCAGGAUCAAAGACCUUGGGUCUUUGCAUUAUUUUCUGGGCAUUGAGAUGUCUGUAGUUCCUGGUGGGAUGCUGAUCAGUUCAGGAUCAAAGACCUUGGGUCUUUGCAUUAUUUUCUGGGCAUUGAGAUGUCUGUCGUUCCUCGUGGGAUGCUCCUCAAUCAGCAUAAAUAUAUUUCUGACCUGUUGCACCAGUUUGACUGUAUGAAUGUUUCUUCUGUUGUUUGCCCUUUGGAUCUUAAUGUGAAACUGCAUGCUGAUUCUGGUGACAUUCUUUCCUCUCCUGAACAAUAUAGAAGUAUUGUUGGUAAGCUCUUAUUCCUGACUCACACCAGGCCUGACAUCUGCUUUGCAGUUCAGCAUCUGAGUCAAUACUUGAAGUGUCCCAGAGUCCCAGAUAUGACUGCUGCUUUACAUGUUCUCAGAUAUCUACAAAGGUCUAUGCAUUUGGGUUUAUUCUAUUCUGACAGCUCUGAUUUGUCUGUCCAUGCUUAUUCUGACAGUGAUUGGGCUGCCUGUCAAGAUACUCGCAGGUCUGUGACUGGGUUUUGUAUUCUUUUAGGUGGCUGCUUGAUUAGUUGGAAAUCUAUGAAACAACCUGUUGUCUCUUUAUCUUCUGAUGAAGCUGAGUAUAGGGCUCUCAGUAAGGUAGUUGCUGAACUAUCUUGGCUUUCCCGAUUGCUAACUGACCUUGGUAUCUCUGUUUCUCUCCCUUUUUCUAUUUUCUGUGACAAUCAGGCUGCUAUACAUAUUGCCAAAAACCCUGUUUUUCACGAGAGGACUAAACAUAUCGAAGUAGAUUGCCAUUUUGUGCGUGAUUUAUUGGCUGCUGGGCUCAUUACUCUAUCCCAUGUUUCUACCUCUCGUCACCUGGCUGAUCUUCUCACAAAACCACUCCCUAGCACCAUUCUUCAUCCUUUUUUGUCCAAGUUGAAGGUGGUUUCCCCCUCCAACUUGAGGGGGAUGUUGAGCUACAAGACUAUUUGGUUUCAAAUCCCAUACACAUGCAUUGAGUUUUUACUGUAUAUUUAGUGUAUGUUAAUUGUAUAUCAGGUAUACUUUGCAGUUGGACCAAUCUGUAUAGUUCAGCCCAUUUUGGCUUUAUUUUCCGGGUUUGUUUUCUGGCCCAUUUUUGUGUAAUUAUAUACCUGACCCUAUGUAAACAGAAGAGUCAGUCGGUAUUUUUCCAUAUGUGAAUCAAUAUUAUUUAUCUCUCUAAAAGCUCUCUGGAAACUUCUGCCUAACCGACUCUCUCUCAUCUUGUUUUUUGAUUUCGUCUAGAUUUCUUGAUGUUUUCAUCAAAAGGUGGAAGUGACUAGUUAAGACUCCUUGGCUCUGGACAGGCUGUACUUUGCAGUUUACUGGCUACUCCCGGUUUCCCUCCCCGACAAGCGAAGUAGCUGUCGGUGGCAACUGUCCAUUUCACUCUGUUUAAGCAUUUGCUGGUUUUUACAAAAUAAAAUAAAAGAAUUUAUGUCAUGUUUGUGUCUAAUUACAUAUGCACCCUUGCACCUCACACCGACAGCCUCAAAUUGUAUUUCUUUUUGCUGCAAAUUCUGUUAAUUAAUAUACCAAAAAUUAAAUGUUAAAUUCAUUUUUCCCUUCAGUUAAAUAAGAGCCCUUUAUAUCGAACUCACAAACAUUAAGAACUUUUUGUUUUAAACUUAUUAUUUACUUUAUUUGUAAUCCGUCUCAAAAUAUAUUACUUCAUCUGUACGUUUGAGGGACAGGAAAAAUAUUUUAAGAAUUCGAAGAAUGAUAUGUGACUGGAUAAGUAAUUUUAGUCUUUUUUCCUUAUUGAGGCCCUCUUGCUUCUUGGUUAACAAAGAAAAAUUUCUUGUCUUUAAGAAGCUUUCUAGAAUUAGAAUAUGCUUAAUUAAAUGCCACUGUUCAAACAUGAAAUUAGAAUCAAACAGCAUCAAUAACGAGAAUAUAUCUAUAAAAUUCUACAAGUGAAAGCUAAGGAGGGUUUACCCAUUGUUUACCCAUACUCUAUCCCUACCUUUUCAAGGUAUAUUCAAAUAUAGUAUUGAAAAAUAAUUUUCAUAAAACACAAGAGGCGUCUGUGGAAUAUUUCUUUUAUAGAUUUAUAGUAUGUAUAUAUGGUCCAAGAAAAAUUCUUAUUAUGUGAUUAAAACACAUACUGCAAGUUAUUGUUUGUCUUAACUGAUGUCAUGCAAAGUAUUUAUGAAACAUUUAUUGUUACGUACAAUUUCUAAUUUUCCCCUUGUUCGUUUGUUUUUAUUUUCUCCUAACAAUAUUAGGCUGCGUGAAAGUAUAUUGAAUUCUCCAUGACAUGCGUGAGUAGUUAAAAUUUUUGAAAACGGUAGAUAGAAAGUUUGACGAGAAAAUGGGUUAGGUCCUUUGUCAAAUCUUGUAGCUAUUAGAUAUUUAUUAACUUCCCUCGUCAUGAGAUUAACAAAACUAAAAUUAAGUCAGUUGAUAGGGCAUCACCAUCACAUUUCUAUUUGAACCGAGUAGUUAUUGUAGUGGUUCACUAUCUUUUUAGAAAACGUCAAAUAUAAGAUACGUACUAUAAAAUAGAGGUGUAUACAGUUAAAAUCGAAUUUUCCUAAUUUUGUAUGAUUAAUCGAAAUCGGGGUGGCAGAUCAAGGUUCGGCCUCACUUUGUAUUGAACCAUGGCAAGGACUCAUGAAUCAAUGAACAAUAUAUCAAGAUCGAGACAAGCCGUUAUCGAGACCGAAGCGGAAUAGAGAUCAAGCGAGAUCGAAGGAAGCCUGCUAAGUCAAAUAAUAGAAAGUCGAGAUAUCUGUGAUUGGGUAAGGAUCGUGGCGGAAAUCUCUGUUGAGAUGAGAGAUUAUAUGGCUUCCAAGCCAAAGCAUAAGUGACAUAAACUUGUAUAUCCAUUGUAUAUUCAUUGUAUAUUUACUGUAUACUCAUGGUAUACCUUGUAAUGGGCUAUGAUGAUUGAUGCUGCUGGACUGUGUAUCUGAGCCCACAUUUAUUUAGUUUUGGGCCGGCUCACCCAACCCGACCCAAUAGUGAAUUGUAUAUAUAAUAUAGGGUUAGAUAUUUUAGAUGGGCCGUCUCACCCGACCCGACCCAAUAGUGAAUUGUAUAUAUAGUAUAGGGGCAGAUAUUUUUACACACGGACUUCAUUUUGUGUUUAAUAAAAUUUUCUCUAGAUCUUCUCGAUCCUUCUCUCAACUACCCCUUUCUCUCUCUUAUUUCUCUCACUAUAUUAUUCAUGUUCUUUAGCUUAAUCCUCAGGUUUCCUGGUAUCAGAGCCAGAUAAUCUUCGGAUCGUUCUCGGUUGCGUGUUAUCGAUCUUGUUCGAAGCUUUUGCUGAAGCUUUUCCUAUGGUUAUCGGUAAGAGAUACUGUUUGGAGAUUUUUCAACGAUUGUUGAGCGGAUAAUCGAAGUUUUCCUGUCAUUCGAGGUUCCGGUCUUGCAUCAACGGGUGUUUUGGGUAAUUUUCCGGCAUCCCUGGGUUUAUUCCGACGAGUUCUUCAAAUUCUAGGGUUUGAGUUUUCCUGUCAUUCGAGGUUCCGAUCUUGUAUCAGCGGGUGUUUUGGGUAAUUUUCCGGCAUCCCUAUGUUUAUUCCGAAGAGUUCUUCAAAUUCUAGGGUUUUCCGACUUUUGGACCUAGACCUUUGGUGUUAUCCGAUGACUUUCUCUUUGCUUGAUGGACGCUUUGGGUGAUUUUCCGACGUCUGUGACUUUAUUCCGGUGAGUUUUAGAACCUAGGGUUUCCGGUGUUGGACCUAGGGUUUCUCUGUUGAUUGAAGGCCGAUCUUCUCCGGUCGCGAAGAAGGAGGGUAACCCUGUCCUUAUUUUGAAUAUUGUAUGCUUUGUAUGUAAGUAUCUGGUACCGUUAUACUUUGCUUGUCGAAACUGUUUUUUUCUCUCAAGCUGGUUCAUUAGUCAUGGCCUCUAAUACGACUGUUGGUACCUCCUCGGUAGACUCUACCUGCCCCCUUUUUGUCUACUCCUCUUAUGUCCCUGGCGUCUCUCUUGUCCCCACUCCCUUCUCAGUCAGUGGUUAUGGGGGUUGGAGGGGAAAGAUGAUUGUUGCCUUAUCUGCUAAAUACAAAAUUAGUUUUGUUGAUGGCACGUGUUCCCGGCCAGCCACUAAUGUGGCUCAACAAAGGUUAUGGGACAUGUACAAUAAUAUGGUUAUUUCAUGGUUAACUGCCUCCCUCUCCCCUGAAAUUGCUGAAAGUGUACAGUAUUCUGAUACUGCACAAAGUAUAUGGUCCCAACUUCAGGCCAGAUAUGACACUGCAAAUAGGACCAAAAUUUUUGAAUUGAAAAGAGAGCUUUCUCAAACCUCUCAAGGGUCUCUAGAUGUAGCUUCAUACUUUAAUAAACUCAAAGGUCUCUGGGAUGAACUAGAAUCAAUGUGUGUCAAUCAUGGCCAAAGAUGUGUUUGUGCUGCUAAAGAUGGUAUAAUACAGGAAAAUGAUGACAAUAAGGUAUUUCAGUUUCUAAUGGGCCUUAAUGAAGCAUACAUGGGGGUAAGGAGUAACCUUUUGAUGAUGCAGCCACCUCCAACCCUUGACAGUGNNNNNNNNNNNNNNNNNNNNNNNNNNNNNNNNNNNNNNNNNNNNNNNNNNNNNNNNNNNNNNNNNNNNNNNNNNNNNNNNNNNNNNNNNNNNNNNNNNNNNNNNNNNNNNNNNNNNNNNNNNNNNNNNNNNNNNNGGACACUUAAUUGAUAAGUGUUUCAAGAUCCAUGGGUAUCCACAAAAUACAAAUUUUAACAAGGGGAGGAGACCUGCUGCUGCUCAUCUUACUUCUGGUGUGGAUUUGCCUCAUUCUGAAGCACAUAUGUCUGUUCCCCAAGGGAAUCCUCCUGAGAGUCAUCAAUCUGUUCCAAGAAUAGAUGGCCAGAGUUCUGUGAUACCAGGGUUGAGCAGACAACAUUAUAAUCAAUUGAUGAACUUAUUACAACAGACCCAGUUAGGGGACUCCACUCCUCUGACUCCUCCUCCCAUGUAUGCUGCUAACUUUGCUGGUACUAUGCUAACUGAG
rnacentral:lncRNA from 1 species